rnacentral:rRNA from 1 species
AGAGUUUGAUCCUGGCUCAGGAUGAACGCUAGCUACAGGCUUAACACAUGCAAGUCGAGGGGAAACGACAUCGAAAGCUUGCUUUUGAUGGGCGUCGACCGGCGCACGGGUGAGUAACGCGUAUCCAACCUGCCCAUCACUUGGGAAUAACCUUGCGAAAGUAAGACUAAUGCCCAAUGAUAUCCCACGAAGGCAUCCGAAUGGGAUUAAAGAUUUAUCGGUGAUGGAUGGGGAUGCGUCUGAUUAGCUUGUUGGCGGGGUAACGGCCCACCAAGGCAACGAUCAGUAGGGGUUCUGAGAGGAAGGUCCCCCACAUUGGAACUGAGACACGGUCCAAACUCCUACGGGAGGCAGCAGUGAGGAAUAUUGGUCAAUGGGCGAGAGCCUGAACCAGCCAAGUAGCGUGCAGGAUGACGGCCCUAUGGGUUGUAAACUGCUUUUAUAAGGGAAUAAAGUGAGUCUCGUGAGACUUUUUGCAUGUACCUUAUGAAUAAGGACCGGCUAAUUCCGUGCCAGCAGCCGCGGUAAUACGGAAGGUCCGGGCGUUAUCCGGAUUUAUUGGGUUUAAAGGGAGCGUAGGCCGGAGAUUAAGCGUGUUGUGAAAUGUAGAGGCUCAACCUCUGCACUGCAGCGCGAACUGGUCUUCUUGAGUACGCACAACGUGGGCGGAAUUCGUGGUGUAGCGGUGAAAUGCUUAGAUAUCACGAAGAACUCCGAUUGCGAAGGCAGCUCACGGGAGCGCAACUGACGCUGAAGCUCGAAAGUGCGGGUAUCGAACAGGAUUAGAUACCCUGGUAGUCCGCACGGUAAACGAUGGAUGCCCGCUGUUGGCCUGAAUAGGUCAGCGGCCAAGCGAAAGCAUUAAGCAUCCCACCUGGGGAGUACGCCGGCAACGGUGAAACUCAAAGGAAUUGACGGGGGCCCGCACAAGCGGAGGAACAUGUGGUUUAAUUCGAUGAUACGCGAGGAACCUUACCCGGGCUUAAAUUGCAGAUGAAUUACGGUGAAAGCCGUAAGCCGCAAGGCAUCUGUGAAGGUGCUGCAUGGUUGUCGUCAGCUCGUGCCGUGAGGUGUCGGCU